GACGAACGCUGGCGGCGUGCUUAACACAUGCAAGUCGAACGGAAAGGCCCUGCUUUUGUGUUGUGCUCGAGUGGCGAAAGGGUGAGUAACACGUGAGUAACCUGCCCUUGACUUUGGGAUAACUUCAGGAAACUGGGGCUAAUACCGGAUAGGAGCUCCUGCUGCAUGGUGGGGUUUGGAAAGUUUCGGCGGUUGGGGAUGGACUUGCGGCUUAUCAGCUUGUUGGUGGGGUAGUGGCUUACCAAGGCUUUGGCGGGUAGCCGGCCUGAGAGGGUGACCGGCCACAUUGGGACUGAGAUACGGCCCAGACUCCUACGGGAGGCAGCAGUGGGGAAUAUUGCACAAUGGGCGGAAGCCUGAUGCAGCAACGCCGCGUGCGGGAUGACGGCCUUCGGGUUGUAAACCGCUUUCGCCUGUGACGAAGCGUGAGUGACGGUAAUGGGUAAAGAAGCACCGGCUAACUACGUG
rnacentral:rRNA from 1 species